AUACGUAGGGUGCAAGCGUUAAUCGGAAUUACUGGGCGUAAAGCGUGCGCAGGCGGUUUUUUAAGAAAGUGGUGGAAACCCCGGGCUCCACCUGGGAACUGCCAUUGUGACUGCAAGGCCGGAGUGCGGCAGAGGGGGAUGGAAGUCCGCGGGUAGCAGUGAAAUGCGUAGAUAUGCGGAGGAACACCGAUGGCGAAGGCAAUCCCCUGGGCCUGCACUGACGCUCAUGCACGAAAGCGUGGGGAGCAAACAGGAUUAGAUACCCUGGUAGUCCACGCCCUAAACGAUGUCAACUGGUUGUUGGGGAUUUAUUUUCUCAGUAACGAAGCUAACGCGUGAAGUUGACCGCCUGGGGAGUACGGCCGCAAGGUUAAAACUUAAAGGAAUUGACGGGG
rnacentral:rRNA from 1 species